rnacentral:rRNA from 1 species
UGCAGAAUCCCGUGAACCAUCGAGUCUUUGAACGCAAGUUGCGCUCGAAGCCGCUAGGCCGAGGGCACGCCUGCCUGGGCGUCA